AGUCCCGUAGUGUAGUGGACUAUCAUAUAGCACUUUGGAUGCUAUGACCCCGGUUCGAAUCCGGGCGGGACUA
rnacentral:tRNA from 1 species